rnacentral:rRNA from 1 species
UACGUAGGGGGCAAGCGUUGUCCGGAUUUAUUGGGCGUAAAGAGCGUGUAGGCGGCCAUGUAGGUCCGUUGUGAAAACUCGAGGCUCAACCUCGAGACGCCGAUGGAAACCAUUUGGCUAGAGUCCGGAAGAGGAGAGUGGAAUUCCUGGUGUAGCGGUGAAAUGCGCAGAUAUCAGGAAGAACACCAAUGGCGAAAGCAGCUCUCUGGGACGGUACUGACGCUGAGACGCGAAAGCGUGGGGAGCGAACAGG